rnacentral:rRNA from 1 species
AUUGAACGCUGGCGGCAUGCUUUACACAUGCAAGUCGAACGGUAACAGGCCUUCGGGUGCUGACGAGUGGCGAACGGGUGAGUAAUGCAUCGGAACGUACCCAGAGGUGGGGGAUAACGCAGCGAAAGCUGUGCUAAUACCGCAGGUGAUCUGAGGAUGAAAGCGGGGGACCGAGCAGCAAUGUUUGGCCUCGCGCCUUUGGAGCGGCCGAUGUCGGAUUAGCUAGUUGGUGGGGUAAAGGCCUACCAAGGCGACGAUCCGUAGCUGGUCUGAGAGGACGACCAGCCACACUGGGACUGAGACACGGCCCAGACUCCUACGGGGGGCAGCAGUGGGGAAUUUUGGACAAUGGGCGCAAGCCUGAUCCAGCAAUGCCGCGUGCGGGAAGAAGGCCUUCGGGUUGUAAACCGCUUUUGGCAGGAACGAAACGGUGUCCGCUAAUACCGGGCGCUAAUGACGGUACCUGCAGAAUAAGCACCGGCUAACUACGUG